GGAGAGGUCGCAUAGUCUGGCCUAGUGCGCGGGCCUGGAAAGCUCGUAACCCAAAAGGUUCGAGGGUUCAAAUCCCUCCCUCUCCGCCU
rnacentral:tRNA from 1 species